GACGAACGCUGGCGGCGUGCUUAACACAUGCAAGUCGAAGAUGGUGGCGAACGGGUGAGUAAUACGGGGGUAACCUGCCCUCCUUUUUGGGAUAAGCCUUGGAAACGGGGUCUAAUAACGAAUAAAGGGGGAUGGGCUGGCGGCCUUUCAGGUUGUUGGUGGGGUGAUGGCCUACCAAGGCGGUGAGGGGUAGCCGGCCUGGGAGGGUGACCGGCCAAAUUGGGACUGAGAUACGGCCCAGACUCCUACGGGGGGCAGCAGUGGGGAAUCUUCCGCAAUGGGGGGAAGUCUGACGGAGCAACGCCGCGUGAGUGAUGACGGCCUUCGGGUUGUAAAGCUCUGUUAAUCGGGAGACGGUACCGGAAUAGAAAGCCACGGCUAACUACGUGCCAGCAGCCGCGGUAAUUC
rnacentral:rRNA from 1 species